UAUGCCACAACUGCUGUUUGGUGUAAACCAUUGAUGUAUUCUGUAUAGUUGGGAUGGGGUUGAAAAAUGUUAAUUGUUUACAGUGCUUUUUAGGACAUUUUAUGUCAUUAUUUAGUUUUAGUUCCUAAAUGUCCAUUCACAGGAAAAGACAAGGUCAUUUUUCUCACCAAAGAAGAUUAUGAGAAGCCAAGUACAAUUGAACUGGAGGAGGAGGAGCAGCCAACAGAUCAUUCACGAAUGUUGCCACGACACAUGACCGACCUUGCUAACUGCGACUGCUGGCUGGCCCUGAUGCAGCUCAGCCUCACCGAACGGGUUGCUCUGCCAGAUAAUCGGGACACUAAGGAAGACUCAGCCGACUACAGCGGGGCAUUAUGGGUUUCAGCCGGCUCCAGCGGGACAAAGUCGGACUCAGACGG